rnacentral:misc_RNA from 1 species
GAAAUGCGAUAAGUAAUGUGAAUUGCAGAAUUCAGUGAAUCAUCGAAUCUUUGAACGCACAUUGCGCCCGCCAGUAUUCUGGCGGGCAUGCCUGUUCGAGCGUCAUUUCAACCAUCAAGCCCCCGGCUUGUGUUGGGGACCUGCGGCUGCCCGCAGGCCCUGAAAAACAGUGGCGGGCUCGCUGUCACACCGAGCGUAGUAGCAUACAUUCUCGCUCAGGGCGUGCUCCGGGUUCCGGCCGUUAAACGACCUUCAUAACCCAAGGUUGACCUCGGAUCAGGUAGGAAGACCCGCUGAACUUAAGC